rnacentral:lncRNA from 1 species
CUAGAUUUAGUUUAGAAUAGGAUUUAUAUUUUCGUAUUUUUCUAUUUUUGGACUGUAUAAUUGGACUGGACUUUAUAUUUUGGAUUAUUUUGUUUUUGUUUGCUUGAGUGAUUAUUUUUGUGUGCUUUGUGUGGUUUAUGCAUUUGUAACGUCAAUUUAGCCGAUACGCUCUGCCAAGCGACCGUGGUCAAACCACGGGAUCGAGGGGUACCUAACACCUUCCCCUCGGUCAACAGAAUUCCUUAGCCG